rnacentral:rRNA from 1 species
UACGUAGGGUGCAAGCGUUGUCCGGAAUUAUUGGGCGUAAAGGGCGCGUAGGCGGCCUGGCAAGUGGAAGGUGAAAUCCCUCGGCUUAACCGAGGAACUGCCUUCCAAACUGCUUGGCUUGAGUCCGGGAGAGGUGAGUGGAAUUCCCAGUGUAGCGGUGAAAUGCGUAGAUAUUGGGAGGAACACCAGUGGCGAAGGCGGCUCACUGGACCGGAACUGACGCUGAUGCGCGAAAGCGUGGGGAGCAAACGGG